CACUUAGUAGAAAAGCAUGACUUCAUUUUGGCAUGACUCGUCUUCAAUUCAGGAAUGGAAUAAUAACUUUAAACAGAGCAGACUCAGUGUCGGCUUAGGACCUUGUCUAAUUACCUGUAGUCAAAGAGGACGGAGUGGGAAAGACCCAGAGAUCAAAAUCAAACUACACUCUGUAAACAGAAAGCACUGAAGGGGCAAACACUGUCCUUCUGAAAAUAAAAGCAUAGGGUGGCAAAAUUUAACAGAAAUUUGAAUUCCAGAUAAGUAGUCAGAAAACUCGAAGACAAUCAGAGUAGAGACCUCUAGAAAGGAGAAUUUAUUAGCCAAGAACACAAGGCCACAGACGAAAAAGAGUCUCUUCACAAAAGUCAAUUGACAUUUGGGAGGAGAAAGGAGGAGCCAGGGUGCUCAGUGCUUUACUAAAAACAAGAACUCAGUCAUAAGCCAUGAGAUUGAGGUCAAGGGCAAAUUUACAAAAUCAUUCACUGUCUUUUAUGUCUUUGCUGAUUGGAGAUAAUUGUAUACUUUAUAUACUGUAGGCAAGAUGUCAGCAAACUAUUUCUGCAGAGGACUGAAUAAUAAGUUCUUUAGGUUUUGUGAGCUAUAUUGUAUCACAGCAGAUAUUUGGUAAAUGAACAUUCUUGGCUGUGUUCCAAUAAGAAUUUCUUUACAAAAACAGGAGGGAGCCAGAUUUUGAUAGCUGGCCAUAGCUUGUAGACCCCCAAUUUAGAAGCUAGAACAAAAAUACUACCAAAGUCAUAUAACAACUUUGGUCUCUGCUAGUUAGGUUAAUGUGGUCAGGAGAAAUCUAGGCUGGAACCAGAGGAAGUGAGUGCUAGGAGUAAUGAGUUGUCAUACAACCUUUGUCCUCUGGCCUUACCUUUACUAUUCAAAUCCUUGGUUGCUCUAACUGGCUUUGCUAGCCUUCCUGUUGCUCAACUAUCAAGAAAUCUAUAAUCUCAGAGUCUUUGAGCUUACUCUUGUCUUUGUCCAAAAUAUUCUUCUAAAUACUAUCCCUAAUUAUCUGUUCAAAUAUGCAUAUAUUUGUAAGGGGUGUGUCAGGAAACAGAUUUUACCUUAGAUAUUCAAAUGAGGAAAAUUAAAUCAAUAAUCAACUCACAUAGUUGUGGGGAAGAUUAAAGGAACAGACAGAAAAUGACAUGCAGAAUCUAACAAGAGCAAAAAAGGCAGGAUCAAGGGAAGACUCCCAGGAGUCUGAACUGAAAGAACAGUGAAAGAGCCACAGCACCUGACUAAGAAUCAAGAGUGGAGCAGACACAGAUUUCAUUAAAUUGAUUUCCCUAACAUGGGGAAAAAAGCAUGUAGAUGAACACAUGGGAUUGGGUAGAAAGUGUCAUCUGUGCUUGUCAGAGGACAUCCACUGAAUAUAGACCCUAAACAUCAGGGAGAACAGGGUGACUGGUUCAGCAAAUGCCAACCAGCAUCUCUUUUAUGCACAAUGGACUCAUAAUGGAGGUAGCCAUGGAGGUUGUUGGCAAGCCCAACAAUGUGACUCCUUCCCACAAAGGCUGAUUGAGAUGCUGCUGUUGCAAAAUCCAUUCUGCCUCACCAGAGACUAAUGCUGGGACCACAAUAUGUCACUCCCUUGAGGAG
rnacentral:lncRNA from 9 species